UGGAUUAGUAGUCAAGCGGUUACGACAUAGCUCUUUCAAUGCUACUAUCGCAGGUUCGAAUCCUGUCUAGUCUAA
rnacentral:tRNA from 1 species